GUGGGGAAUAUUGCACAAUGGGCGCAAGCCUGAUGCAGCAACGCCGCGUGGGGGAUGACGGCCUUCGGGUUGUAAACCUCUUUUAGUAGGGAAGAAGCGAAAGUGACGGUACCUGCAGAAAAAGCACCGGCUAACUACGUGCCAGCAGCCGCGGUAAUACGUAGGGUGCAAGCGUUGUCCGGAAUUAUUGGGCGUAAAGAGCUCGUAGGCGGUUUGUCGCGUCUGCUGUGAAAUCCCGGGGCUCAACCCCGGGCCUGCAGUGGGUACGGGCAGGCUAGAGUGCGGUAGGGGAGAUUGGAAUUCCUGGUGUAGCGGUGGAAUGCGCAGAUAUCAGGAGGAACACCGAUGGCGAAGGCAGAUCUCUGGGCCGCUACUGACGCUGAGGAGCGAAAGCAUGGGGAGCGAACAGGAUUAGAAACCCCGGUAGUCC
rnacentral:rRNA from 1 species